rnacentral:rRNA from 1 species
UAUGGGUGCCUUAACAUUGCAAGUCGAACGGUAGCAGGUCUUCGGACGCUGACGAGUGGCGAACGGGUGAGUAAUACAUCGAGAACGUGCCCAGUCGUGGGGGAUAACUACUCGAAAGAGUAGCUAAUACCGCAUACGAUCUGAGGAUGAAAGCGGGGGACCUUCGGGCCUCGCGCGAUUGGAGCGGCCGAUGGCAGAUUAGGUAAUUGGUGGGAUAAAAGCUUACCAAGCCGACGAUCUGUAGCUGGUCUGAGAGGACGACCAGCCACACUGGGACUGAGACACGGACCAGACUCCUACAGGAGGCAGCAGUGGGGAAUUUUGGACAAUGGGCGAAAGCCUGAUCCAGCAAUGCCGCGUGCAGGAUGAAGGCCUUCGGGUUGUAAACUGCUUUUGUACGGAACGAAAAAGCUCCUUCUAAUACAGGGGGCCCAUGACGGUACCGUAAGAAUAAGCACCGGCUAACUACGUGCCAGCAGCCGCGGUAAUACGUAGGGUGCGAGCGUUAAUCGGAAUUACUGGGCGUAAAGCGUGCGCAGGCGGUUAUGUAAGACAGAUGUGAAAUCCCCGGGCUCAACCUGUGAACUGCAUUUGUGACUGCAUGGCUAGAGUACGGUAGAGGGGGAUGGAAUUCCGCGUGUAGCAGUGAAAUGCGUAGAUAUGCGGAGGAACACCGAUGGCGAAGGCAAUCCCCUGGACCUGUACUGACGCUCAUGCACGAAAGCGUGGGGAGCAAACAGGAUUACAUACCCUGGUAGUCCGCGCCCUAAACGAUGUCAACUGGUUGUUGGGAAUUAGUUUUCUCAGUAACGAAGCUAACGCGUGAAGUUGACCGCCUGGGGAGUACGGCCGCAAGGUUGAAACUCAAUGGAAUUGACGGAUUUGACGGU